CUACGGUUGCACCAGUAAGGAAUAUUGCGCAAUGGAGGCAACUCUGACGCAGCCAUGCCGCGUGCAGGAAGAAGGCCUUAUGGGUCGUAAACUGCUUUUAUUUAGGAAUAAACCCCCGAACGUGUUCGGGGCUGAAGGUACUCAACGAAUAAGCACCGGCUAACUCCGUGCCAGCAGCCGCGGUAAUACGGAGGGUGCAAGCGUUAUCCGGAUUUAUUGGGUUUAAAGGGUGCGCAGGCGGGCUAUUAAGUCAGUGGUGAAAUCCCGGGGCUCAACUCCGGAACUGCCAUUGAUACUGAUAGUCUUGAGUUUGGUUGAAGUGGGCGGAAUGUAGCAUGUAGCGGUGAAAUGCAUAGAUAUGCUACAGAACACCAAUCGCGAAGGCAGCUCACUAAGCCAAAACUGACGCUCAUGCACGAAAGCGUGGGGAUCAAACAGGAUUAGAUACCCCUGUAGUC
rnacentral:rRNA from 1 species